UACGGAGGGUGCAAGCGUUGUCCGGAAUUAUUGGGCGUAAAGAGCUCGUAGGCGGUUUGUCGCGUCUGCUGUGAAAACUCGGGGCUUAACCCCGGGCCUGCAGUGGGUACGGGCAGACUAGAGUGCGGUAGGGGAGACUGGAAUUCCUGGUGUAGCGGUGAAAUGCGCAGAUAUCAGGAGGAACACCGGUGGCGAAGGCGGGUCUCUGGGCCGAUACUGACGCUGAGGAGCGAAAGCGUGGGGAGCGAACAGG
rnacentral:rRNA from 1 species